CCCGGAAGGAGAUUUCCGGAAGCGAAGGUCGCGCUCUGCACAACGCUCCCAACAAGACAUUAGUGUUCGUGGAUCUGUAAAGAAUCGACUCUCCUGCAGAUAUCUGAGGGUCUACCAUAUGAUUUCAGAUGGAAGCCAUAAUAUUUUGCUAUUCUUUGCCACCCGUUGCUGACACUGUGUACGAGUGACAACUCCGAAGAGACAUGGCAACGGAGCAACUAAGGAUGGAAUCACAAGUGAGUAGGGAGUUCUUCUUUCUACUGAAAUAGCAUGUCUGUCA
rnacentral:lncRNA from 1 species